rnacentral:rRNA from 1 species
GAUGAACGUUGGCGGCGUGCCUAAUACAUGCAAGUCGAACGAAGACUGUAGUAAUACUGUCUUAGUGGCGAACGGGUGAGUAACGCGUGGGUGACCUGCCCCGAAGUGUGGGAUAACAGUUCGAAAGGAUUGCUAAUACUGCAUAAUAUCCAAGAGAUUAGACGCUUUUGGAUUAAAGGAGUAAUUCGCUUCGGGAGGGGCCCGCGUCCCAUCAGCUAGUUGGUAAGGUAAUGGCUUACCAAGGCGAUGACGGGUAGGGACCUGAGAGGGUGGCCCCCAAAUGGAACUGAAACACGGUCCAUACACCUACGGGUGGCAGCAGUAGGGAAUAUUAGUAAUGGGCGAAAGCCUGAACUAGCAACGCCGCGUGUGCGAAGAAGGCCUUCGGGUUGUAAAGCACUUUUUGAGAGGAUGAGGAAGGACGGUACUCUCAGAAUAAGUCUCGGCUAACUACGUGCCAGCAGCCGGGUAAAAGUGUGUGUA